rnacentral:rRNA from 1 species
GGGCCCGCACAAGCGGUGGAGCAUGUGGUUUAAUUCGAUGAUACGCGAGGAACCUUACCAGGGCUUAAAUGCAGAGCGAAUAGUUUGGAAACACCUCCUUCUUCGGACGGUCUGCAAGGUGCUGCAUGGUUGUCGUCAGCUCGUGCUGUGAAGUGUCGGGUUAAGUCCCCAUAACGAGCGCAACCCCUAUUUCUAGUUGCCAGCGGUUCGGCCGGGGACUCUAGAGAAACUGCCAGCGUAAGCUGUGAGGAAGGUGGGGAUGACGUCAAAUCAUCACGGCCCUUACGUCCUGGGCCACACACGUGCUACAAUGGUGAGGACAGAGAGUCGCCAACCCGCGAGGGUGAGCUAA